AGGGACGAUAUCGGUGCGAUUAAUGUGCUACUGGAGUCGGCCGAGGAAACCAGGGAAUUGGAAGCUACAGGGACCCCGCACUCAGGUCUGUGCCAAGAUGCCCGUGUCCUGCAGGAGCCGCUGCUGCUCGUCGCCCCCCCGGGCACAAACGUCUCCCUGAGGUGCCGCCUGAGAGACAGCAGCCUGAGCAACACUCUGUGUCUGUCUCUCAGCAGAUGUUGCUCAGACUCCGGGGCUGGUUCUGGUUCCCCCGGGGGCAAACGUGACCCUUGAGUGUGAGCACCCCGACUCCGGGUUCCUCUAUAAGUUCUGGUACCGACAGGAGAAGAACCGACCCCUCACCCUCAUUGGGUCCACAUACAGCACCCAAAGCCCAAACAUGGAGAGAGAAUUCGGUUCCAACAGAACCAUCAUUGAGCCCAAAACUGCUGAGAGAAGUCUCCUAUUGAUCCUCACAGUGUCGGGCCGGGACAGCGCCACCUAUUACUG